CCUGCAAUGCUGGCUGCUUUGUGAGUUCCGGCCCCUGGAAACUCGACUGGGCUGAGCCCUGUAGCACAGGGGAUGAGCCGGUCACAGCCUGUAGGGCUGGCCCAGCUGUGCCCUAGAGAGCUGCCCAUCUCCCACUGGCAGCCUAGUGACUGGGAGCAUUGGGUCCUUCCUAGCCCACCAAGGAUCUGCCCGGGGAGAGGGGAGUAUCGCGGGGUGCUGAAGUGACUGUUCCAGGGUGUCAGCUAGAAAUGGCAGUGCCAGGACAGCUGGGCAGGGGACUCCAGGACAUUCAUUUGGCUUUCGGGUGCUGGGGAUUUGUCCUGCCUGCAAAUCCUUCCACACCCUGGGGUUCCAUUCUGCCUCACUGCUCACAGCCCUGAGGGGGCAUUUAAAAUGGGGGGGCAUUUCUGUGCUAAGGGACAGCCGGGGCAUAUGCUUAAUGAGCCUCCCAGCUUCCCCUGUCUUAGUGGAUGCAGGUUCCCUGCUGGCAGAGACCCCCAAAUUUGGGCCAGGGUGAUCCAGCGGGCCUGGCUCUGGAGGGAGGGAGGGGUGGAUUUCCUGGCCUAUUGGUUCAAGGGCACCUGCCUCGCCUCUGCUGGCCACUCUGGCAAGGAGCCAGGCUCCAGGGGAAACCUCCAGCACUGGUGAAAUUCUCCAGUGACUUGUUCAGAAAUGUCAAGCUGCCGACUUACAGGGAAGGUGUGGGCUGUUUGACUAAGCAGUGAGUCAGGCCGGCAAAGCCAGCUGGGUGUUGUGUGUAUAAUCCCUGGCUCUGGGGUUUAUUUCCAGGGGAAGGGGGGUGUGUGUGUGUGUGCGUGCAUGUGGGUGGGUGCAUAAACUGUUUCUACAGCCUUCCUGUAACAUUGGAGUGGCUGGGUCUGGUGCUUGCUGUCCCAGCCUUCCUAGGCACCUGCCAAGCCAAAGUGACAGCUCACCUUCCCCGGUGAGCCGAGCUGAACCCUGCAGGGAGGAAAAACCAGUUCCAGGUCCCCUUUCAUCAUCCCAUGGGCCUGCCAGGCAGUGCGGGGGAGGGAAGCGCAGUGCAAGGCCCAGACUUUUUCCUGCCUGCCACUUAGCCCUUCGUUUGCAGGGUGAGCUGCCCACAGGCGCUGACAAGUUUGUUCCCGUGGCCUUCAUGAACCCAAAACAGCUGGGAGAGGAGCCUUCCAAGGGGGCAGCCAGCGGGAGAUGUGGAGGUCGGGGCCAGCCUCACACCCUGGAGCCUGCCAGCCUGUCUCUAGCCACAAGACCCCCACCAGUAGCCAUGUGCUGCCGCUGGGCUUGAGCCCAGAAUGGGCUGCAGGCGAGGGGGGGGAAGCUCACGUCACACAUGCUGAGGCCACUGAUGCUCCCUUUGGGAGCUUGGGGUCUUUCUUGGGGAUGUUUGACUUUGCAAUUUCAGGUCAAAACCUUGGUGAGGUGAAACGGGGCCCUGGGGCAAGACACUUGAUGAUAACCCUGCUCUGGCUAUUCAGACGGUCAGCUCUUCCUUGGUGCGUGUACAAUGCCUGCUCAGGUGGGCAUUCCUGGGGCUGUAAUGCAAAUCACCACCACAGGUUUAAUUCACUAAUAAAACCCCCUGAUUCUGAGCCAGCCCCAGAAAGCAGCAAAGCUGCAGAUUCACUGAGCUGCUUUGGUAACAUUUGUAAGCUCUUCCCCCGCCCCCUACAUCUGCAGGGGGACCCAGGUCUCAGGGAGAUGGGGAAGGUCCUGUGGCAUGUCCCCUUUGGCUGAGUCAGCAUCAGGCUCGCUACAGCAUUUGCUGCCCUAAAGCCAGCGGCUGGAGCAGAGGAGACAGGAAGCCGCCGGUGGAAUCUUGGGGGUGACACAGUGAGAGAGGAGAUGGGUGAAUGGGGGGGCAGGCAGGGGGCUGAGGGUCUGUGGUAGGGCGGGCAGGUAGACAGUGAAAUCCCCAAACCAUGUCCCAGUCUGGCUGGGCCAGCCCAGCUCCUGCCCAGACAGUCAUAGAAUCAUAGAAUAUCAGGGUUGGAAGGGACCUCAGGAGGUCAUCUAGUCCAACCCCCUGCUCAAAGCAGGACCAAUCCCCAAUUUUUGACCCAAAUGGCCCCCUCAAGGAUUGAACCCACAACCCUGGGUUUAGCAGGCCAAUGCUCAAACCACUGGUUUGUCUUUCUGCCCCAUUUUGCAGCAGGUCUCUCAGUCCAGAGGGGCUGUGAAGGAAUCAGACCUGGCCUGUUUCCUCCCAGAAGGAAACAGAACGAGGAGCUCAGUGGAAAACGCGGCCCCCGGGCUGCCCCCUUUGCCAAGGAGCACCAGCAGGGAGUGAACAGGCUGCUGUCCCCAUGAGAACUCCCCCAGCUCUGCCAUUCAUGCCAGCGGCUCAGCUGACAACUGACCACAACACCCAGAGCCGAUCUGAGUCUUACCAGGAAUAGAGAGAACUGAUCAAGUCUGCAGAGGACACGAAGCUUUGGGGGGUUGCCAACACUUUGGAGGAGCUAAAGUUCAGAGGGAUUUUGAGCUGGGCUGUAGACGACACAAUGAAAUUCCACAAAGACAAAAGGAAAGUGCUACGCUCGCCACGCAGGCCUGUGUGCAGCCACUCCAGGCUGCCAGGACAACGACGCCUUUUCACUCAGCAGCUUUGGGCGGCUCAGAAUCGGCUCUGCUUGUUGGAGGGCCUCGGGUAGGCCCCCCCAGAGCCUGCCCGGGCACCGGGGGCAGCUGGGAUCUCGUCCUUCCUGUGCAUCAUCAGCAGAACCCCUCCAGCCAGAGCAGACACCCCUGCUGUUUCUCCCUUCGCGCUCUGGAGUCCAAGGCCACCAGGCAGAUUCUCACAAAAUCCCAGGACUCCAGGAGCUGGGCCUUGCAGAAAAACACCAACUAUUUCCAGACUCGUGACAAAACUGGGGGAAUUGAGAACACCGGGAGUCCCAGUCAAAGCUCAGGCCCCCUUGUGCUGGGCAUUGCACGUGCAACUUAGCAGAGCCGGUCCCUGGCCCAGAGAGGCGUCAGACAGGACAGGAGAGGCAGGCAACGUACACAGACAGGGUGCAGCUGCAGAAGGAACAGAGCUUGGCAGCGAACCAGAAGCCCGAGCUGAGUAAAACAGUCUGGUAAACCCCCCUUUCCCUCCCCAGGCCUCCGCCGAUUUAGCUGUCAUGGGGUGAAAACACCAGAAGCUGCCAGGGCCCAGUCCAUCCUGGGCUCCCCCGGGGCAGUGGAACCAGCAGCAGCACCAGUGGGAGGCCUUGCUCAAAACCUCUAGGGAGGCUGCACCACCCUUGCAGAGGGCUGCACCCCUCUGUAGUGGCUGGUACCCAGAGGGUAACUGCCUAGUACUGCUGCCAGCCAAGGGAGAUGCCUAUGUGCUGAAGGUUGGGGAGUCCAGUCCUGUGGCUGGCCCCUGUGAAGGGGAAGGGGGCUUACGCAGACAUGGCCCAAGCCACUACAGAUCCCUCCAUCCCUCCAGCGUUCACCUUCCCUUCAAGCUCUUCCCCUCACCCCCGCCAGUGAGCAGGGACGAUGCCCCCUUUCAGUGGGGCAGUGGAAUGGGGGUUGCCACCACAGGGACACUGGAUGCCUGUUUGUCCAACACCCCCGGGGAGCAGGGUCUUAAUGGGUGCCCAGGCAGGCAGGCCCUUGCCACGCCUUGCAGCAGAGCCGAGUGCUGGCAUGGGGAGGGGGCAGCGGUGAGAGGGGGAGGGUGCCCAGGGAGGGUGGCUCAGGCUGGCCGGCUUGCUCUCCCGGGGAGCCCUUCAGCAGAGCACCUGAUCCGAUGGGUCGAGCACAUCCUCAGAGGGGAGGGUCUCACCUGCUUGGGGAGGGGCCAGGGCCAGGCUGGCGAGGGCUGGGAGCUCUCAGCUCCCAGUGGGGGACUGGCAUUGAGGGGGCGGGGCCGGGAUGGGAGAAGGUGGCUGCAGAGACCAUGCAUAGCAGGCCUGUCCUGGGCUGAGCCGUGGGCUGCUCCAGAUCAGACACACACGCCCUACUCCGGAGUCACCCAGCCCCACAGGGUGAGGGAGGGGAAAUCUCUGCCCAUCACAGCUUCCUCCUGGUGGGGACGGCUCCAGCUGCUGACCCAGCCUGCAACAUGCAUGCCCGGGCACCCGGGGGUGGGGUGCAGCCCAGGGCCAGGCAUUCAGGGUCAGAACACAGGGAACGACCCCGAGCUGGGGCCCGCGCAGUCCAGGGAUUGUCACCCUGGGGCUCUGCCCCCGUCUCCAUUCCCCCCGCGACUUGGCCCUGAGGUCCGGCACAGCCAGGGCAGCCCUGUGGUAGCAAUGGCAAGGGGGAGCCCCAGCUGAGAACUCAGCCCUGGAUUCGGGAGGAGGGGGGAAUGCCCAAGUGGGUUCUGGACAGUGCCAGCUGGGCUGGAGAGACGGCGCACAGCCUGGCCCAGUAAUGGGAGCGGGGGAGCAGAGCUGACACCGGGGGGGCCAGGCAUCCCGUGGGGCAUGCAUUGGGGCGGACGGGAGAUGGGCUCAGCUGACUGCAAUGGCAGAGAGCAAGGGCUGCAGUGGGGCAGGAUGGGCGGCUGGGAAGCACGUGGCAAGGACCUGUGCCUUGCAGGGGGCUGGGCAGUGCUGGGAUCACCUGGGCAUCAUCAUCACAAGGACAGCUGGGAUGGGUGAGCGGAGGGGCUGCUUGGGAGACGACCGUGCCAUGAGUGAGGCUGGGAAUGGCCCAGGGUAUGGGUGCACUGGACGGGCAAAGCCACUUCCUGCAGUGGGCCCACAACCAUCAGGGCAGGUGAACGAUACCUGCAGCGUGUGUGUGUUUGUGUGUGUGUACGUGUACAUGGGUGUAUGCACAUACGUGUGUGCAUGCAUGCAUGUGUGGGUGUUUUCCAACGUGGGUAACCAUGCCAGCACCCCCACCCCAAAAUGCACUUGGCCUCCCAAGAGACCCUGCAUUCCACAAGCCCCUUGAAAGAGAGGGGGGGAGGUAAUGGGGUUAAUGGGAUUAGGUCAAGUUCACUUGGGGGGUUUGCAUUUACAAGGACCCUUCAUUGUCCCCCAGAUCCUAUUACCCGCCCCUUUCGCUAGGCAACCGCAAAAUGUAACAGCCUGGUGACUCAGAGCAAAAGUGCUGUAAGGACCCCAAAUUCAAGAGCAGAGCUGGGCCUGAGUCUCCUGGCUGCCAUGCUCCUGGGCUACCCAGAUCAAACAGCCCCACACACAGUGAGGAAUGUCAUAUCAGUGUCAACCAUUCAGAUAAGGGCUCGCUCCAGUGGGGUUUGAACUGGGGGCCUGAGGCUGGACAAUGACCCAGCUUGUCUGAGUAUUUGGAGACCUGGUCUGUAUCAGGGUGCCCUGGAGCCCACAAUUCCAGGCCUGGGGAAACUGCGGGGAAACUUUGGCUUUUGUUUUAAAAACCUGCCUUCUAAGAUGACCCAAGCUCAAACCAGGGCUGUGGUGUCCACAGAGCCAGAACUUAACACCUAGGGUGCUAAUUGCCCCCUUUAUCUCAACAGGCUGUGAAGUGUUUCACUGUGCUAUUUUAGCAGAAGCCUCCAGCUAAUGUGUUUAUCCCACAAGUCCACAAUGCCUCUCCACCUUCUGUGAUACACAUUUGUGGGGCCACCACAAAACCUGGCAGCUAAGGGCAGUGUAAGGGGCCUGGAAUGUAAUAGCUACGCACGGUCGUGCGGUGCCUCAUGGUCUCGGACACCAUCCGAUGGUCCAGGGACAUCUACAUCGAACACAUCACCGGCCACCGACAGCACCAGGAGGUGUGAGCCGGUACGACAUCGUGGAUCCACUAUGGGAAAGGGACUGAGAGACUUUUUCCAUUGGACCAUACGAACCGGAAGCAUAAACUCACUGAACAUUAAUUCCCACCAAAUGAGGGUAAAUCCAUCCUCAUCAUCGUAUCCACUCAUUAUACUCCACACCUGAACAUAGCCAUUAUAUGGACAACGUACCCCCAUAUCUCAAUGUCUGUACUUUGACCCGUUAGCCUUUUACCCCCAAUCGGGGAGAUUGCAGAUUAUGUAUUCCUUACGCCACCCAUUCCUAAACCGAAUUUCGCACCCCUUGAUAAUCUGUACCUUAUUCCCUGAUAACCAGAAACUUCUAUGCUUAAACUCUAUACCAUUUUCUUUUUACUUCAACAUCAUCUUAAUAAAAUUAUUAAAUCUG